rnacentral:rRNA from 1 species
CCUACGGGUGGCAGCAGUGGGGAAUAUUGGUCAAUGGGCGAGAGCCUGAACCAGCCACGCCGCGUGAAGGAUGACGGCCCUACGGUUUUUAAACUCCUUUCGUCAGGGAGCAAUUGGGCCCACGCGUGGGCUUGGCGAGAGUACCUGCAGAAUAAGCAUCGGCUAACUCCGUGCCAGCAGCCGCGGUAAUACGGAGGUUGCUAGCGUUAUCCGGAUUUAUUGGGUGAAAAGGGUGCGUAGGCGGAAUAUCAAGUCAGCGGUAAAAAUUCGGGGCUCAACCCCGGCGUGCCGUGGAAACUGAUGUUCUUGAGUGGGCGAGAGGUAUGCGGAAUGCGUGGUGUAGCGGUGAAAUGCAUAGAUAUCACGAAGAACACCGAUUGCGAAGGCAGCAUACCGGAGCCCAACUGACGCUGAGGCACGAAAGCGUGGGUAUCGAACAGGAUUAGAUACCCCGGUAGUC